AUGAAAGAGAAAAGCAGCCCAUUUAAAUCUAGCUCAAUGAAAUCGAGCAUGAAUCCUUCGACGACAAAAUUGUCGUCUUCAACAUCAUCGCAGCGCAAGAUGAAUGGCUUUAGUACAACAGAGGAUGACAGUCGUGACUCCGGACAUGGUCAGAUAUGUUGUUUGGUGGACGAUGGUCAGCGCUGUUCAAGACCUGCAGGGAAUGCAUGCUAUAGUAAACGUAUUGCUAAGACAGUUCAACAGAGGAAAUUAAAACUGACUAUUGAUCACAGUGUGAGGCAUAUCUAUAUCUGUGACUUUCACAAGUCUAUGAUACAAAGUGUUCGUAGUACCAAGAAGAGGAAGAAAGGAAGUGAUGAAGAUGGUGGAAUAUCUCCAGAUCAUGAUCUUGAUGUACCAGAGGUUGAUUUGUUUCAUUUACAAGUGAAUACUUUAAGAAGAUACAAGAGACAUUAUAAGAUUCAGACCAAACCAGGGCUCAACAAGGCACAACUUGCUGAUAUGGUUGCCAGGCAUUUCAGGACCAUUCCAGUGAGAGAAAAAGAAGCUCUGACUUAUUUUAUCUACAUGGUUAAGAAUAAUAAGAGUCGCUUUGACCAAAAACAUGACCACAGCUAGAAAUCAUAAAACCAAUACGUACGUGUAUAGCCUGUCUAGACCAGUGCACAUAGAGGUGAAUUGUGGAAUGGUCUAAUCCCAAUCUGUCUAUCCUAAUAAUGAUAAAAACAUACCUCUUUUGGUCUCAGUCCACUUGGUCUAAUCCACUUUUUUAACCAGCUUUUCUACUAGAUAUUCAAUUUAAUUGUCAUUUUAAUAGACCAUUAAAUUUUUGCGUAAUUUUUAAUGUGAACAUACCAUUUAACUUACUUGGUUUAUAAUUUAAAUCCACUAGUCUACAUGAUCAGGCAACUGGUUAUGGGCAAAAAGGAUAAGCCCUAGUUGUACAGCCGGGCAAGCUGAGAAUUAGACCAACUGGGAGGUUGACCAACUGGUAAUAGACCAAUGAGGUUUUGCAGGAAGCUUACAUUCAUUUGCAAAUGAAGCAUAAGACCCAAAAUCAAGCAUAAUUUUGAGUUGCAAUGGAAUGCAAAUCAACUAUGAAUUUUCUAUUGAACAAAGGAUUUAUGUUUGAUUUUGGGACUUACGCCUGAAUGGGAACUGAACACAGACCUUCUGCAAUGCCCCCCCCCUACGCGAAUAUCAACAUCAUCUAGAUAUAGAUCCAUCAUGAUUAUAUGACAGCUGUAAAGCGAAAUCAUCCAUGUGAGAAUCUCAAUUUUCACUGCUUGAUAUUUCAAAGUCCUGCCAAAAGCAUAACUUGGGGAAUGUUUCACAAAGAUUUAAGUGUGAUUUAGAAUCGCACUGAAUUCGUUUUUUGCACGCAGUAUGAAAGGAAUCAUUGCACUGGUCAAAUCAUGCUAUAAUGAUGUGAGCUUUUGUGUUAAGUUUGCUCUAUUUAUAUCAUGUCCAUGUCGGCAUUUAUGCACGACUCUUAAGUCAUACUUACCAUGUAAAGAUAAUUUCAAUCUAUUCUUUGUUUAUUGUAAAUACUGUUUUUCAAAUUGUAAAGUAAUUGCUUCUAUUUAUGUAGCUGUUUGUAAAUAGCUUCUCAUUGUGUAUUUGCAAUAAUUUUUGUUCCUCAAUAUUGAUUGUUUUCUGGAGUGUCAAGCGCCCUCUAAGAUCAGGGGGUGUAUUCUGAAAAUUGUCUUAAGAGAAAUAAUCUUGUAUCUUUAGAGUUACAAUAAAAUCCGUAUUCUGAAAACUCUUGUAUCUUUUCUUGUAACUUUCACUAAGCGCUUAUGACGUCAGAGUUACAAUGAUGCGUAAAGUUAAGAACGGCGCAUAGAUCUCUGUGCGCAAGAUAACAUAUCGAGAUAAAAGGUAUUCUGAAAAUUCUUUGCGUUCUGUUAACUUCCUUGCAAAAUACAAGAAAAUUUACAAGAGGUAGGGGGCUAUUGUAACUUAAUGUUGAAUGCGAUAUUUCUCGGUCAGCAAUAACAAUUUCUUCCUGCAUCCCGCAAGAACAUCAUGUUUUAUAAAAGGAGACAUUACAAAGACGUUAUAACAACGGAUUGGUAGACUUCAGCAAUUGAAAAUUGGCAUUCGAGAUGAUGAAUCUUUUCAGAGAAAAUAUGACUCUGAGAAAAGCCACGUGUAUUUUAGCCGAUUUUAGCAUAGUAGUGUACAGGCAUAAGCGUCGGUGGCGCAAAGGAAAUUACGCCGCAUGUCAACAAUGCGCUUAAUUAUUUUUUUAGAAGGGAUGCUUCUAUUGGUUGACCGAAGCAUAUAAAAAGUUUGAUUGGUUGAUGACAAAAUAUUAGGCAUGUCGGAGAUAAAAUAGGGGAAGUCCUUACAGAGAUGAGACAAUUUUCAGAAUACUGAUUUAAGAUAAUUUUAGCGAGCUGUUAUCUUGCUGACUUACAAGAAAAGUUACAAGAAAAGUUAGGACAAUUUUCAGAAUACCACCCCAGGUUUUUUUCAUAUAUUAAAAAAAAAAAUCAAUAUUGACAUGCAGCUUUUGAAGAUUCCCAUAACCAUUCUUUACAAUAGAAUGAUAAAUUUCACAGAGACAUGAAGAACUUUUCACAAAUUUUGGCAUGCAAUAUAUAUUCAUGUAGUAGCAAGUUGUGUAAUCAUAGGCAUUAAGUUCAAAUUGUUUAGUUAAAAAUCUAUUCUGAGACACAUUAUUAUUAUUGUUGCCCCAGCCUUGUCUGGGUACCCAUUCACUUCAGUCUGGAAGUUGAGAUGAAUCUCUUGCUGAAAGAAAUUAUUUCCAUUUGAACCCAUGAGCCUCUGAAUAAAAACAACAAAAAUAAAUGUCAUGAAAAGUUUUUUUUAUGCAUUUACUAAUCUGAGAUCAAAUGAUGAGAGAAAAUAAUGAAUGGAUAGGCCUAAUGCAUUCUACCUGAAAUUGAUGUUGCAACACAAAAUUAAGUUAGUCUCUUUUGAAUGCAUGCUGAUGAUGAGUGUAUUCCUUUACAACAUUUCCACAUCAACUUCAUAGUUAAUAUUGAACAAGCUGUCUUCACUUGGUAUGGACAAUAGUUUUCAUGAUCUUCAAAACAUCAGACCAGAGAGUUGUUGCAUUAGACUAACUUCACUUGGAAAUUUGCUCAAUGUCCUUUGAAAAUAAGGAGAAGUAUACUGAAUUUUCAAGAAAACAGUGAAUGUAUGAAUAUACAUCAUUUCUAGAAAAUAUUUUGAACAAACAUUUAUUUUAGAUGUUGAUGUUUCCAUAGUUUCGAUUGAUCGGAUGAAUCGCAAUUCUUUGUUAGACGGGCCCCUGGUGUGUUACAAAUGUCCAUGUUAUUAUUAUUACCCAUUAUGCAGAGUUAGGUAUAUAGAUAGUAUGUCAUUGUCAGUGAUUUUCAGUGAUUAUGGAGAAUUUUUAAUAUUUAGAUAUUACUCUCAUUUUGCUCAAAUUGUGAUUCCAUGUUCAUUCAUUUGGGCUUUUUUGUUUGUUUUAAAAGUCAUUUAGUCAUUUGAUACUUACAAACUUUUCUCAUAUGCAACAUUUCUGGAGGUUUUUGUGAUCCCCAUUUUUUAACAUGACAAUUUGAAUGUGCCAUUUUUCGAUAUGUGUUCUAGGUUAAUCUAUUACAUUUAUAUAUUUUAUUUUAACUGAUUUUGUAGUUAUUUAGAAACCUUGAAGGGAAUUGAUUAUUAGCAUGAACAGUGAAAACAGUAUAUAAAGACCACAUAUACUUUGAGAGAGAAUAGAAUCUUGCCUUUCAGGUUUUUGGUCUUCAUUGACAUGCUUCCUUUGGUAUCCAAUGAAAAAAAAAGGAAGAAUACAUACUUUGUAGAGAAUUGCUAGUGACUACAAUAGGCAAGUGGUUAACAAUGUAUGUGGUCAUGUGCUCUUAGAAAUACAUAAUGGAAUUUAUUGUCUAGAUCUUUGGUUAUUUAAUAUUUUUAUUUAUUGUGAAAAAUCUUUGAAUGAAAUUAUUACAUAGAUGAACAUGUACAAUUUGUUUUCAUAGUUGUGUAUUUCAGUUUUCAAUAUCUUUUGAAAUUUAAUUGUUGAUUUUUUUUUUACUUGCUUUCAUAUUCAAUAUUUCAAAUCAGAAUUUAUUUUCAAUAUUGGUAUUUUCCUUUUCCCCCAAGAGGCCUGUUUUUUCUUUAUUUCUUGUAUUGUGAAAUUUUUGAGAACGUUUUUGUUCUGUACAGCUAUUUAUCAAUUUGUACAAUAUAAAUGUAGCAUUUGAUAAUUAUAAUUUGCAUUUGUGUCAGUGAAGAAAAUAAUGUGUUGGACCUUUUUAUUCCUAUGUGAUUGUGGUUGGUUAGGUAGAUAGUAGGUAGCUGGGGUGAAAUGCUUCAUGUUCUAUUUACACUUUGUCCUCAUCCCACAUGGUCUAAUCCUAGUUUAUCUACAACCAGUUCAUCUACUAACUAAUUAAUCUAAUUGCCACUUAUCCCCAUACCAUUUGGUCCUGCACCACUGUGUAUAUGACUACUGAACUGUUUAUAAACCUAAUAUUCACUUGCCAAAUUAUGAAAAGGUAUAGCGAUGGAGUUGAAAUUAGACCAUCUGGGUAUGAGAGCAAAUGUUAAACCAAAUGAUAAUUAUACCUUAUUAAUAGUAGACAAAGUGGGUUUAGCCAUGACCAUGCUAUAUGAACUGAAAAUUAGACUUGCUAGUAGACCAUAUUAUAGGUGUAGCUAUGAUGGUGUUAGUUUAUCUGAGUAUAACACCA